rnacentral:rRNA from 1 species
ACGGGAGGCAGCAGUGGGGAAUAUUGGACAAUGGGGGGAAACCCUGAUCCAGCGACGCCGCGUGAGUGAAGAAGUAUUUCGGUAUGUAAAGCUCUAUCAGCAGGGAAGAUAAUGACGGUACCUGACUAAGAAGCUCCGGCUAAAUACGUGCCAGCAGCCGCGGUAAUACGUAUGGAGCAAGCGUUAUCCGGAUUUACUGGGUGUAAAGGGAGCGUAGACGGCAUAGCAAGUCUGAUGUGAAAUCCCCGGGCUCAACCCGGGAACUGCAUUGGAAACUGUUAAGCUAGAGUGCAGGAGAGGUAAGUGGAAUUCCUAGUGUAGCGGUGAAAUGCGUAGAUAUUGGGAGGAACACCGGAGGCGAAGGCGGCUCACUGGACGAUUACUGACGUUGAGGCUCGAAAGCGUGGGGAGCAAACAGGAUUAGAUACCCUGGUA